rnacentral:rRNA from 1 species
CAACCGAGGUUCAAAGGCGUCUGGGGCAACCUGGGGGCUGCCGGGGGCGGAGCCUGCGUACGGUCCCAUGAUGACAGGUUGUGGGAAGAAAGCAGUGAUGCGCGCUGGGAGGGGGCUGCGGCCGAUUAUGCUUGUUGGUGUGGGUAAUGGCUCACCAAGGCGAUGAUCGGUAGCGGGUCUGAGAGGAUGAUCCGCCACACGGGGACUGAGAGACGGCCCCG